rnacentral:rRNA from 1 species
AGAGUUUGAUCCUGGCUCAGAGUGAACGCUGGCGGUAGGCCUAACACAUGCAAGUCGAACGGCAGCACAAGGGAGCUUGCUCCCUGGGUGGCGAGUGGCGGACGGGUGAGGAAUACAUCGGAAUCUACCUUGUCGUGGGGGAUAACCUCGGGAAACCGGGACUAAUACCGCAUACGACCUUCGGGUGAAAGUAGGGGAUCGCAAGACCUUACGCGAUCAGAUGAGCCGAUGUCGGAUUAGCUUGUUGGUGGGGUAAAAGCCCACCAAGGCGACGAUCCGUAGCUGGUCUGAGAGGAUGAUCAGCCACACUGGAACUGAGACACGGUCCAGACUCCUACGGGAGGCAGCAGUGGGGAAUAUUGGACAAUGGGCGCAAGCCGGAUCCAGCCAUACCGCGUGAGUGAAGAAGGCCUUCGGGUUGUAAAGCUCUUUUGUUGGGAAAGAAAUCCUGUCGGUUAAUACCCGGUAGGGAUGACGGUACCCAAAGAAUAAGCACCGGCUAACUUCGUGCCAGCAGCCGCGGUAAUUC